rnacentral:hammerhead_ribozyme from 1 species
AUCCAGCUGACGAGUCGCAAAUAAGGCGAAACGCGCGUAAAAACUGGAU